rnacentral:rRNA from 1 species
CGGGGUUGCGGACAGUGUCUGGUGGGUAGUUUGACUGGGGCGGUCUCCUCCUAAAGAGUAACGGAGGAGCACGAAGGUUGGCUAAUCCUGGUCGGACAUCAGGAGGUUAGUGCAAUGGCAUAAGCCAGCUUGACUGCGAGCGUGACGGCGCGAGCAGGUGCGAAAGCAGGUCAUAGUGAUCCGGUGGUUCUGAAUGGAAGGGCCAUCGCUCAACGGAUAAAAGGUACUCCGGGGAUAACAGGCUGAUACCGCCCAAGAGUUCAUAUCGACGGCGGUGUUUGGCACCUCGAUGUCGGCUCAUCACAUCCUGGGGCUGAAGUAGGUCCCAAGGGUAUGGCUGUUCGCCAUUUAAAGUGGUACGCGAGCUGGGUUUAGAACGUCGUGAGACAGUUCGGUCCCUAUCUGCCGUGGGCGCUGGAGAACUGAGGGGGGCUGCUCCUAGUACGAGAGGACCGGAGUGGACGCAUCACUGGUGUUCGGGUUGUCAUGCCAAUGGCACUGCCCGGUAGCUAAAUGCGGAAGAGAUAAGUGCUGAAAGCAUCUAAGCACGAAACUUGCCCCGAGAUGAGUUCUCCCUGACUCUUUAAGGGUCCUGAAGGAACGUUGAAGACGACGACGUUGAUAGGCCGGGUGUGUAAGCGCAGCGAUGCGUUGAGCUAACCGGUACUAAUGAACCGUGAGGCUUAACCUU